rnacentral:rRNA from 1 species
GAUGAACGCUGACAGCAUGCUUAACACAUCAGCAACUGAUUGGUGGCGGACGGGUGCGUAACGCGUAAAGAACUUGCCUCACAGCUAGGGACAACAUUUGGAAACGAAUGCUAAUACCUAAUCCGUUGGGAGGUCGUUGCGUCCCAUUAGCUCGUUGGAGAGGUAACGGCUCACCAAGGCGAUGAUGGGUAGCCGGCCUGAGAGGGUGAUCGGCCACAACGGGACUGGGGCACGGCCAGUACUCCUUCGGGAGGAAGGAGUGGGAACUAUAUGACGAUAGACCAAAGUCUGAUGCAGCAAUUCGGUGUGUACAAUGAAGUUUUCGGAAUGAAAAGUGCUUUCAGUUGGGAAGCGGUACCAACAGAAGAAGUGACGGCUAAAUACGUGCCAGCCGCCGCGGUAAUAC